rnacentral:rRNA from 1 species
AAUAGCUCAAAUUUGAAAGCUGGCGUCUUCGACGUCCGCGUUGUAAUUUGUAGAGGAUGUUUCGGCGAGGGCUCCUGCCUAAGUUCCCUGGAAUGGGACGUCACAGAGGGUGAGAAUCCCGUAUGUGGCGGGCGGCCUUAGCCAUGUGAAACUCCUUCGACGAGUCGAGUUGUUUGGGAAUGCAGCUCUAAAUGGGAGGUAAAUUUCUUCUAAAGCUAAAUACCGGCCAGAGACCGAUAGCGCACAAGUAGAGUGAUCGAAAGAUGAAAAGCACUUUGGAAAGAGAGUUAAAAAGUACGUGAAAUUGUUGAAAGGGAAGCGCUUGCAACCAGACUCGUUCGCAGUUGCUCAGCCCGCCUCUUGGUGGGUGUACUCUUCUGCGGUCGGGCCAGCAUCAGUUCGGGCGGUCGGAUAAAGGUGUCGGGAAUGUAGCACCCUUCGGGGUGUGUUAUAGCCCGGCGCGGAAUGCGGCCAGCCUGGACUGAGGAUCUCGCUUCGGCAAGGAUGCUGGCGUAAUGGUUGUAAGCGGCCCGUCUUGAAACACGGACCAAGGAGUCUAACAUCUAUGCGAGUGUUUGGGUGUCAAACCCAUGCGCGUAAUGAAAGUGAACGGAGGUGGGAACCCGCAAGGGUGCACCAUCGACCGAUCCUGAUGUCUUCGGAUGGAUUUGAGUAAGAGCAUAGCUGUUGGGACCCGAAAGAUGGUGAACUAUGCCUGAAUAGGGUGAAGCCAGAGGAAACUCUGGUGGAGGCUCGCAGCGGUUCUGACGUGCAAAUCGAUCGUCAAAUUUGGGUAUAGGGGCGAAA